CUAGCAUAUCAAUAAGCGGAGGAAAAGAAACCAACAGGGAUUGCCCUAGUAACGGCGAGUGAAGCGGCAACAGCUCAAAUUUGAAAUCUGGCUCUUUCAGAGUCCGAGUUGUAAUUUGCAGAGGGCGCUUUGGCGUUGGCAGCGGUCCAAGUUCCUUGGAACAGGACGUCACAGAGGGUGAGAAUCCCGUACGUGGUCGCUGGCCUUCGCCGUGUAAAGCCCCUUCGACGAGUCGAGUUGUUUGGGAAUGCAGCUCUAAAUGGGAGGUAAAUUUCUUCUAAAGCUAAAUACUGGCCAGAGACCGAUAGCGCACAAGUAGAGUGAUCGAAAGAUGAAAAGCACUUUGGAAAGAGAGUCAAAUAGCACGUGAAAUUGUUGAAAGGGAAGCGCUUGCAGCCAGACUUGCCUGUAGUUGCUCAUCCGGGCUUUUGCCCGGUGCACUCUUCUGCGGGCAGGCCAGCAUCAGUUUGGGCGGUUGGAUAAAGGUCUCUGUCAUGUACCUCUCUUCGGGGAGGCCUUAUAGGGGAGACGUCAUACAACCAGCCUGGACUGAGGUCCGCGCAUUUAUGCUAGGAUGCUGGCGUAAUGGCUGUAAGCGGCCCGUCUUGAAACACGGACCAAGGAGUCUAACAUCUAUGCGAGUGUUUGGGUGUCAAGCCCGAACGCGUAAUGAAAGUGAACGGAGGUGGGACCCCAUUAGGGUGCACCAUCGACCGAUCCUGAUGUCUUCGGAUGGAUUUGAGUAAGAGCAUGGCUGUUGGGACCCGAAAGAUGGUGAACUAUGCUUGAAUAGGGUGAAGCCAGAGGAAACUCUGGUGGAGGCUCGCAGCGGUUCUGACGUGCAAAUCGAUCGUCAAAUUUGGGCAUAGGGGCGAAAGACUAAUCGAACUAUCUAGUAGCUGGUUCCUGCGAGUU
rnacentral:rRNA from 1 species